CAGCUCCUAGCACACUGAGGCCCUGAUCUUGAAUGGCCUACUAGGCGCUACUGGAAUACAUACAUGACAGUAAUCAUAGGACACCAAAGAAGAAUCUGGUUUAAAGAAGUUUCCUACUCUACCUGUGCAUGUCUGUCAGCUCUGGAAUGCUCAUUAUUCAUUUAUUAAAGAAUAUAUUGUUUGCAUAUAUGCAUUCAGUGAAUUCAGCAAAAUAGCAACCUGAACAGAAGUCCUACCCUGAACACUAUUCAGACUCAGUUGGAGAUGACUAUUACAGAUGUCAAUAUGAAGACAGGAAAAGCAAAUGUUAUCAACUGUCACGGAGAAAGGAAUAUGUUAACAAAGAGUGAAAGUGGUAGCCUCCCUUCCAACUAAUCAAUGGAUAAGAUACCACUUAUCUCCAUACAGGAACAGCAAGAAAGCAGCAUACAAAGAUGGUAUCACUGCAAGUGUCCUGUACAGUUCAUUGGUGCACAGAGUCAGCCUAUAAUAGUCAUUUGAAUUCA